CCUACGGGAGGCUGCAGUGAGGAAUAUUGGUCAAUGGACGAGAGUCUGAACCAGCCAAGUAGCGUGAAGGAUGACUGCCCUAUGGGUUGUAAACUUCUUUUAUAUGGGAAUAAAAUGUUCCACGUGUGGGAUUUUGUAUGUACCAUAUGAAUAAGGAUCGGCUAACUCCGUGCCAGCAGCCGCGGUAAUACGGAGGAUCCGAGCGUUAUCCGGAUUUAUUGGGUUUAAAGGGAGCGUAGGUGGAUUGUUAAGUCAGUUGUGAAAGUUUGCGGCUAAACCGUAAAAUUGCAGUUGAAACUGGCAGUCUUGAGUACAGUAGAGGUGGGCGGAAUUCGUGGUGUAGCGGUGAAAUGCUUAGAUAUCACGAAGAACUCCGAUUGCGAAGGCAGUUCACUGGACUGCAACUGACACUGAGGCUCGAAAGUGUGGGUAUCAAACAGGAUUAGAUACCCUUGUAGUC
rnacentral:rRNA from 1 species